rnacentral:rRNA from 1 species
GACGAACGCUGGCGGCGUGCUUAACACAUGCAAGUCGAACGGUAAGGCCCCUCGGGGUACACGAGUGGCGAACGGGUGAGUAACACGUGGGUGAUCUGCCCUGCACUUCGGGAUAAGCCUGGGAAACUGGGUCUAAUACCGGAUAGGACUCCGGACUGCAUGGUCUGGGGUGGAAAGCUUUUGCGGUGUGGGAUGGGCCCGCGGCCUAUCAGCUUGUUGGUGGGGUGAUGGCCUACCAAGGCGACGACGGGUAGCCGGCCUGAGAGGGUGACCGGCGACACUGGGACUGAGAUACGGCCCAGACUCCUACGGGAGGCAGCAGUGGGGAAUAUUGCACAAUGGGCGCAAGCCUGAUGCAGCGACGCCGCGUGAGGGAUGACGGCCUUCGGGUUGUAAACCUCUUUCAGCAUCGACGAAGCGAAAGUGACGGUAGGUGCAGAAGAAGGACCGGCCAACUACGUGCCAGCCGCCGCAGUAA